AUACGGAGGGUGCAAGCGUUAUUCGGAAUCACUGGGCGUAACGGACGCGUAGGCGGGUUGGCAAGUCAGAUGUGAAAUCCUACAGCUUAACUGUAGAACUGCAUUUGAAACUGCUAACCUAGAGUAUGGGAGGGGGAGAUGAAAUUAGUGGUGUAGGGGUAAAAUCCGUAGAUAUCACUAGGAAUACCGAAAGCGAAGGCGAUCUCCUGGAACAUAACUGACGCUAAGGCGUGAAAGCGUGGGGAGCAAACAGGAUUAGAAACCCUAGUAGUCC
rnacentral:rRNA from 1 species